UUAAAGUUUUAUUUUAGUUUAUGAGUUUACUUUUAAUUUAUUUUACAUGUAAAUUUUUGUGUGAAUAUAUGAUAUUUAAAUAAUAAAUAUAAAUUAUUCGCAGUAAUUAAAUUUAAUCAUUAAAGAAAUUUAGAAUUAGUAAUAUUAAUUUAUAAUGAUAAAAUUUGUGCCAGCAAUCGCGGUUAAACGAAUUAAUUAUAAGUAAAUUAGUUUAGUUAAAGUUAAAUAUUAAUUAUUUUAUAAAAUUAUAUUUAUUAGGUGAAAUUUUAAAUUUAAUUUAUUAAUAUUGAAUUAAAUUGAAGCUUAAAAAAUUAAAAGAUAAACUAGGAUUAGAUACCCUAUUAUUUUAAUUUAAAUUAAUUGCUAAGGUAGUAAUAGUUAAGUUCUUGAAACCUAAAAAAUUUGGCGGUAUUUUAGUCUAUUCAGAGGAACCUGUUCUGUAAUUGAUAAUCCACGUUGGACCUUACUUGAACUUGUAUUCAAUUUAUAUACCGUUGUUAUUUAAAGAUUUUAUAAGAAAUAUAAUUUUUAAGAGUUUAUAAUAUAAAAAUAUAUCAAAUCAAGGUGUAGUUUAUGUUUAAGUAGUAAUGGGUUACAAUAAAAUUAUUUAUAUGAAUAUAAAUUUGAAAUGUUUAUUGAAAGUGGAUUUGAUAGUAAAUUUAUAAAGAUAAAUAAUUUGAUUUUGGCUCUAAAAUAUGUACAUAUCGCCCGUCACUCUUAUUAUUAAGGUAAGAUAAGUCGUAACAUAGUAGAUGUACUGGAAAGUGUAUCUAGAAUG
rnacentral:ncRNA from 1 species